rnacentral:lncRNA from 1 species
UUCCAAAGAGUUUUCUUUCUCUUCUCCAAAAUCCAAAUUGCAAACACAAAUUUUUAAGUCUAAUCAUCACCCAUCAUACAAUAACAAAUAGUUUUGAUAAGAGCAUCCACCACAGAACCUGAACAAACGAUGACUAGUUAGAGAGCCUUGUCAUCCACCACCUCCACAUCUAGAGCCUCUACAGAUGCUGCCGCUAGCACUGUAAGGAUUGUGUACUAUGCGAUGGAAGAUGACAUGUGCAUCAAGAUUCUAAUUGAAAGUGGUGAUCAAGCUCGGGCAAUUAAUUAAAAAACAUGAUCAUGCAGUUUGAAUUUUAUGUACAGUCGAUAUAUACUAUGAAAGAUGAAACUUCCCAUAUACAUAAUCGUUAAGCUAGAGUGAUGAUUAUGGGAGGUUAGGGUUAUGUUGGAUUUCAUGUAUAGUCGAUAUUAAACUUACAAGACCAAUAAUAAAUUAAGUUAAUAUUACAAAGUAACGUUUGUUCGAGUAUUCAAUCAUUUUAAAGGGUCACAAGGAGCUAAAUGUUGUGACCAUGUACACCUUUAGUUUAU